ensembl:lncRNA
GCAUCGUGUUAGACUUAAUUGAACGGUACCUGCUAAUGUUACAGUUUUGUUUUCUUUACAGUACUCAGGAAUUUGAUAUUAUAGAAAGAAAUGCAAACACCAAGCAUCCCGGACCCCCUCUUUGUUUCCACGCAUUUGGUUGAGACCGAAGGGCGUAACGCGUCCUUAACGGCACCGCCGACCCGUGCUCAGAAUUAUAGCUUACGUCGAAAUUGCUAUGUGUGUAGUUGUAGUUUUUAAUGAACUAAUGUGUCACCUUUUUAACGUAUACUGUCUAAAAAGCGCCCAUUUAAUAUGUUGGUUCACGCACGGUCACUUCUUUUCUGAGGACUACCUCGCAACACGGAGCAUUUUUUAACAAUGCUAUGUGAUUGGCGCUCAUCAGGACCUGAAGGUAGGUGAAAUACUCCAUAUAGCCUAUCACUGGUAUAAAUGUCCUCCCUGUUCAUGCUUUCUUUACCGUGCGUUAAAAAAACAUGUUAUUAUGGCAUUGAAGCGUUUAUGAAAUUGUCAUUGUGCACAAAUGCGCAAAGGGAAGGUUAUUGCACAGAACAAGGUCACAGUGCCUUAUAGGUAUUUUUUACAGUAUAAAUGCUUCAUGAAUAAACAAUGAAUGGAAUAGUAAGUUUAGGGUACAGUGGCUAUCUUAACCCUUGUGCGUCCUUAUGGACAUUUUUGUUCUUUUUAAUUAUUUAAAAAUCAUUUUGUCUGUGUUAAUGCAAACAGCAUAAAUUUUGCAAAAGUGUUGUGUUUUUAUUGGACUUUUAAUAUUUCACCCUCAUUUGCUUUCAUAAAUCUAUUUUAAACUAGGUACACAAAAUAGUUACACUCAGGACCUUAAGGACAAAAAUGUCCCCAUUGAAACCCAUUCAAACUGCAAUAUUUAACCCCUGUGGCAUUUAAGCAUAAGAUCAUACAUUCUGUGUUAAUAAACUGUAUUUUGUUUACAAGGUUUCAAAACAUCAAUUGAAAAAAAAAAAAAUUAAAUUCGGAAAUGUGUACUAUUUUCUCGGGUUUAGCCUUUGGGGAAAAUAUAGGUGCAUUUCAAAAAAUUCGAAUAUUGUGGAAAAGUUAAUUUUUUUUCAGUAAUUUAAUUCAAAAAGUGGAACUUUAAUAUAUUCUAGAUUCAUUACAUAAAGUUAAAUAUUUCAAGGCUUUUUUAUGUUUUUGUUUUAAUCUUGAUGAUUACGGCUUACAGCUCAUGGAAAUUAAAAAUCCAGUAUCUCAAAAUAUUAGAAUAAAGAAUUUAUAAUACAGAAAUGUCGACCUGAGAAGACUCAGGUAAUUAACUCAAAACACCUGCAAAGGUUUCCUGAGCCUUUAAUCUCUCAGUCUGGUUCAGUACACAACCACAAUCACGGGGAAGAUGAAAGUAAAUGUUGCGUUUCAUUUGGAAAUCAAGGUCCCAGAGUCUGGAGGAAGAGUGGAGAGGAGCAGAAUCCAAGUUUCUUGGAUCCAAGUCCACUGUGAAGUUUCCACAGUCACUGAUGAUUAGGGGUGCCAUGUCAUCUGCUGGUGUUGGUCCACUGUUUUCUCAAGUCGAGAGUCAAUGCAGUGUCUACCAGGAGAUUUUGGAGCACUUCAUUCUUCCAUCUGCUGACAAGCUUUACGGAGAUCCAUCCAUCUUCUACCGCUUACUCCUUUUCAGGGUCCCGGAGAACCUGGAGCCUAUCCCAGGGAGCAUUGGGCACAAGGCGGGGUACACCCUGGACAGGGUGCCCCCUGGACAGGGUGCCAGUGCUUUAUAGAGAUGCUGAUUUCAUUUUCCAGCAGGACAUGUCUCCUGCCCCCAGUGCCAAAACUACUAGUAACUGGUUUGCUGACCAUGGUAUUACUGUGCUUGAUUCGCCAGCCGACUCAUCCUACCUGAACCCCAUAGAGAAUCUAUGAGAGACACCAGACCCAACAAUACAGACAAGCUGAAGGCAAUCAAAGCAACCUGGGCUUCCAGAACACCUCAGCUGUGCCACAGGCUGAUUGCCUCCAUACCACGCCACAUUGAUGCAGAAAUUUGUGCAAAAAGAGCCCCGAUCAAGUAUUGAGUGCAGAAAUUAACAUACAGAAAUAUCGACCCUGAAAAGUAUUAUAAAUUAUUUAUUCUAAUAUUUUGACGUACUGGAUUUUUGAUUUCCAUGAGCUGUAAGAUGUAAACAUCAAGAUUGAAAAAAAAAAAAGUCUUGAAAUGUGAAGUUCUCCACGAUAUUCAAAUUUUUUGAGAUGCACCUGCUCUCCGAUAUCAAUCUGCUCCUUUCACCGCACAUUGCAUGUACCCCAUCCAUUGUCAGUCCAGUAUGUAUAUCCCAAGGCAAUUUAAUUUCCUUUACAGAUUUUUCUACUUGUUGACAUUCGCAAAUGCUUGCCUUUUAUCAGGGCACAGCACAUUGCUAAUUUUAAGCAUACACUUCUUCAGAAAAUCACCCUCUGUGUAUGGUCAGCCUGAUUGAGCUAUUUCUUCAGCCACGAUAAAAGUGGGUUUUAUGGCUACAUCACUCUGUGCAUUUGCUUUAGAAAACAUUGUUUGCUGUUGUACAAGGCCUUUCUUUAUCUCUACCAACUUCUGUUACUUCUUCUGUCUAUCCAAGUCCCCAUAUUUGUCACGGUGUUUUGUAUCAUAAUGAUGUCUUCUGUUAUAUUCUUUAAUUUGCCAGAGUCUCCUGGCAAACGAGACAGACAGGUUUUUCUUUAUGGUCGACAAAUAAGUAUUCCAACUCCCACCUGUCAUGGAAUGCCCUACCUUCACGAUCAACUUUGUAUGGAAUUAUAACAGUGCCAAAUGUCCUCAAGGCAAAAUGGCAUGUUGAAUUACAUAAAUUGAAUAAAAAACGUAUCGCAAUAACAACACUUGAAUUAGUUUACUCUGCAAUUCAUUGGGCUUGUAUAUUUAGUUUGAAAAUGAAAUUCCAGCAUUCAAAUUUCAAUGCACACACAUUCACCUUCCUAAAAUACAGUUCCAAAAUAUUCAGUUGUUAAAAUACCAUCUUCAUUAUUCGUCAGGUAGUAUUUCAACACAUUAUUUUUCAACCUCACAAAUUCAUGCUGCAAAAAUUCGGGUCUUAAAAUUCAAGUCUUCACAUCCGGGUCUCCAGGAAGAGCAAUAUAUUGCUGAUACUAUUGUAACAUGUUACUCUGGGCCGGCCUCAAACUCUGAUGGUUGUGAGUAGUGGUGGGAUUGUGCAGACAAGCCACAAGAGAAGAUGAACCUAGCGUACUGGCAUAAAGUUUGUUUGACGUUGGACAUUCGAUAUUGGCAGAUAUGCGCAAAUUAAGGGACCGUCUCUAAAGUUAGAUCCAACAUUGGUAUACACAUUUCUAACUUCAAUAGCAUUUGAAGGGAAUGACUUACAGUCAUAUAACCAACUGUAAAGUGUUCAUUUAGGUGUCAGCUAUAACACGUUUUAGAUUUUUGAUAUUUAAUUAAAUAAACUGUCAAAUCAUAUCUAAACAUUGUGAUGUUUUUAUACCAUAUGGACAUGUGCACAAAAUAUACCAUAGUUUAAAGCUCAAUAGCAUUUGAAGAGAAUGACUUGGUCAUAAAAGCAACUGUUUAAUAUAUAGUGAUAUAUUUGUUGUGGAGUGAGGGGGUCCUUGUGGAUUGUUCGAAAUAUGCUAGGGGUCCAGAGCUCACAAAAGGUUGAGUACCAAUGGUCUAGUGUAUGAAUUUUAGAAGGGUAGUAUCGUCUCAAAUGGAACACAUUAGUUUUUUAUUAACUGGAAGUAUCCUUCCGCUUCCUAGUCCGUGGCACAUGACUGCAUACGCACGUAAUGCGACACUGAUAGCUUUAGCAGACACCCAGAGUCACCGACAUGACUUUCUUCAGUUUACUGUUUGUCAACAUUACCUUUUAUUCCCAACAUGACCUCAGUCACUAUCAGACGGAGGCAUAGUCAUCAAGUGACUGAGGAAGAAAGUGUGUGACCAAAGUCCUUUAAGGCAGGAGAGCAUUUUAUAUUAAACACCCUGAAGAUCAAACUUUAUAAAGUGGAGUUUGUGUAGUGUUGAAGCACGACAGUGGUGCACGAGCACAAACCUAUGUUUGUAUCCCAAAUGCUCCACUGUGUGCAAGGGGCAGGGGAAACUGUUGCAAGUUGCUUAAAAAGUUUAGUUUAAUUCCAGUUUAUUGUCAUUAUAUGGUGUAUUUGCAUGCUUGCAGUGUAACUUCUGUCAUUUAUUAUAACUAAAGUGAUCUGUUAGUAAUGAGGCUGUGUUGCUCCUCAAUUGCAGUGGGAGCGCAAGUAAGAUCUGUAAUGUCUAAUUAAAACACUAUGAUCAAAAGUAAAACAAUAUGCCUAAAGGCAGUGAGUAACAGAAACCAUAAGGUGCAGUGAAGGGUAGUUUUUAUUACUACUUUAGGACUGUAGUUUAAUUCAGUGCUUUUUGUGCAUCCAUAAAAAGGAAUGCAUACAGUGCAUCCGGAAAGUAUUCACAGCGCUUAACUUUUUCCACAUUUUAUUAUGUUACAGCCUUAUUCCAAUAUGGAUUAAAUUAUUUUUUUUCUCAAAAUUCUACAAACAAUACCCCAUAAUGACCAUGUGAAAGAAGUUUGUUUGAAAUCUUUGCAAAUUUAAUUUAUCUUUGCAAAUUUAGCUCCGCCCCGACUCGUUGAGAGGAAAGCUAAUAUCGUUUUCCGGUGUGCAACCGAUGCGAUCGUUCAUUUCAAACAAAGCGAGGAAACGCCUGGAAUUUGGCGAAGCACCUGAAAGAUGGUCCUAUAUUAUGUUUGUUGGCAUUGGCAGCUGGCAUUGUGGCCGUGAAACCAGGCUAACGUUAUGCUCCAUGUAAUGUUUGCGAUAGCCAGAUAUUUGUUAACAACGCUAACGCAUUACAAUGUUAUAAACUACCUCCUAAUUGACCACCAUGCAUCGCCAUUCAGCCCAUGUUCUGUCGGCAAAAUGUAGCCUAAUGUCACUUAUAAUUAUUCAAAUGUUCAUGCUUUUAAUAAAUCUUUUUGGCCUACCACCAUAUCAGUGAAUUUAAACUAAUGCUUGCAUUCAGAGUAUAAGGUGUGUGUGUGUGUGUGUGUGUGUGUGUGUGUGUGUGUGUGUGUGUGCGUUUAGGAGUGCACCUCCACUCAUUGUUAGACAGUGUUUGAUAACUAAAAUACCCCCCCCCCCCCCCCCCUCUCAAUCUCUCUUUGCCAGUAACAGCCAGAGGAGGAUAUCCUCCAGGAAAUUUUUUUUAUUACAUUUUUAAUUUGAUUUUUAUACCACACCGUGGUAUCGAGUAUUGUGUACUUUUGGUGGUAUCGGUACCGACUACUAGAUUUUUGGUAUCGUGACAUCCCUAAUCUAUAUAUAUCUCCUAAAUUAAGUAUUAAAUUAAUAAUAUCAAUUCUGGUGUGUAUCUGUGUACUGGGUUCUUUGCAAUCUUAUAUAAUUGGACAAACAGUUGUAAAACUUUAGUCUUAAGUUUCUAUUUGUAACACUCAGUUUGUGGAUUUUAUUUUAACUAAACAAAUAAAUGGUACUGAAACUUUGCCUCCCCCCAUCUGGUUAAUCGGAAAAAUAAUCGGUUAUUUCAUGUGUGUGUAUGUGUGUGUGUGUGUGUGUGUGUGUGUGUGUGU